UGUAAGUUGAGGUGGGACCCACACGUCAAGAUUUUUUUUUGGGACAUGUGAAAAAUUAUAUGAAUCACAUAUGUGAAGUUAAACACAACUCAAGAAGGACCCUUGGGCCAAAUCAAAGUGGAAGUCCUCCAAACGAAUAUUUUUAAGAAAACGUUUUCGGGUGACCUGACUUUGGGGGGCAAAAACUGUAUUAUAAGUUUGGAAUUUGGAAAAUAACCAAGAGAUAGAAGUUAUAGAUAAUUGAAUUAGCUUUCCAACCAUAGGUCGUGGGUUCCUAGGUGACGUCGGUACAAGGAGAUAUGGACGUUUUAAGGUCGAAAGGUCAGUGGGCUAUGCCCAACUCGGGACCAACCGAGUUGGCCCAAAAAAAUGAAAAGAAAAAUUUAGGCCCAAGGUGAGAGGGUGGCCGGCCAUACCUGGUCCAAGCCCACCAAAUUAAUUAAUUUCCAUGUGACAAAUUAAUUAUAAAGGGAUCAUUAUCCCUUAGAUGAUUCAAGAAACUUAGAAGGAGAAAGAACAAACAAAACAAGAGCAAAAAAAAGGACCAUUUCGGGUUUGGCCAUAGAAAAUUCAACCCUCCAAAUCUUGCUUCAAAAAUUAUUUUCUUGUGGUAUUCCUACUAAUUCAAGGGUCCUUUACAACUUGGUGUAGUUGUUUUGGAAGAAGGAACACUUAUUUCUUCAAGUUGACAACUUGUUCAAGUGAAGAAGUUUGUAGAAAAAGAUUUCGGGCGAAACGGGAAUUGAAUUCGAAAAGGCGUAAAGACCAUAUAAGGUACAGACGACAGGUUCGCUGAUCCAUCUGUUUAGGAUCCCACUUCUGCUAUUUUGGGGCGCUCUCUUCUUCAGAGCCCACUUUUUGGUACAGUCUGUCACUGCUAUCUGGAUAUGUACAUUGUUCUGGGUAUGACGGGGCCCUGUCCCGUCUUAUGAUUAUGUUAUGUUCUGUAGAGGUCUGUGGAUAUAUCUGUAUGGGUUCUGUACAUAUGUUUGGGAUACUUUGUCCUAUGAUGGCCUUAUCGGCCUAUGUGUGCCAAGUCUGCUUUUUAUGCUAAAUUCUGUAGCGUCCACUAAUAUUAUUAUUAUAUUAUUUUGUUAA